AACGAACGCUGGCGGCGCGCUUAACACAUGCAAGUCGAACGAGAAGGCGUAGCAAUACGCUUGUACAGUGGCGAACGGGUGAGUAAUACGUGGGCGACCUACCCUCGAGUGGGGAAUAACCCGCCGAAAGGCGGGCUAAUGCCGCGUACGCUUCCAUCUUUAUGGAGGUGGAAGGAAAGCCGUGCCGUGGGCACGGCGCUCAAGGAUGGGCUCACGUCCUAUCAGCUUGUUGGAGGGUAACGGCCUACCAAGGCUCCGACGGGUAGCUGGUCUGAGAGGACGAUCAGCCACACUGGCACUGCGACACGGGCCAGACUCCUACGGGAGGCAGCAGUGAGGAAUAUUGCGCAAAUGGGCGAAAGCCUGACGCAGCGACGCCGCGUGGGGGAU
rnacentral:rRNA from 1 species